UAAGGAAUUCCAAUCCCAAGGGGUUAAGACAUAGCUUUCAGACAAGGCUUGCAGUAUCCCUUUAGUAAAUGGGCUUGUGGCACCGUUUUCUCGGACACUUGUUCUGAGUUCUUUAUAAGUUUGAUAGGAUAAUGGCUCAAACCUUCUUUGGUUUUGCUGGUUAAGCAUAACGGGGCAUACAAGGUCACCAGCUAACGCUGCUUCGCGCAGACAGUUUUGUAAAACAGGCGCAGCACCUCUGGAAGUGGGUGGUGGCUGCGGCGGUGACACCGGGCCAGCGGCAGCUGCGAAGGCUAAGCUCUAUCUCUUCCACACUUAUGGAAUGCUUUGGCAGGGGAAAUGAAUUCUGAUGAGACAGAGUUGGUGAAAUUCCAGAAAGUUUUUGAGAAGUUCCGAUACCAAACAAGGACCUGCAUUGCUAUGUACUGCAAGGAUUUAACCUCCACGCGUCAAUUGACUCAGGUCAGUUCCUGAAUAUUGAUGGAGGGUUUUCAAAGCCUUGUGGGUUUAAUGAAAAUGCCCAAAAAUUGACUGUGCUGAUGAACAUGCAACUAUACGAUGAUACUGUGAACAACUGACUGUACACUUUGGAUGAUUUUAUGGGUGAAAAAAGAAAUGGGCAAAGGCAUUGUUGCAGGCAAUGUUCAGAAAAGAAUGAAAAGGAUCAAGGAUUAAGAAAUGGAAUAUGUCUUUCCUUGUUAAAAAUCAGUAAAAUGGACCAUUGUGAAUUCAAUUUUUUAGAGAUUUCUCAUAUUAAUGAUUUUAUUUGCUUAGAAUAAAGGUUUGUGUAGAGUUGG